rnacentral:lncRNA from 1 species
UGUGCAUAUACAGAGAUAUUGAUGUGGUAGUCUGACAUGUACUAUGCAUUUUUUUCCUGUGGUCCCUGGUCAAAAUUUAAAGCCUGUUUAGAAGAUACUUGGGUUUCUCUUAUGAACACAUUUUCAUCAAAAAGGAGGGAAAGGUGUACUUUCAUAUCAGUGAAGGGUCACCUGGCAUGCCAUGCAAGCCAGUCUCCACGAGUGGCAUGGAUUUGGAGGAAGUUCUGAGCCUGAGUUGUGAACACACAUUUGUCCCUGUUUGCCUUCCACAUCACUGAGCUAUCAGUAACCAGAGUGUGUUUUUGCAGUGCUUUUGGGGUUCUUUGAGGGAUGAAAGUGCUGCAUACAAUCAAGUCUGGUCUGUUUAUGGAUGUAAUUCUCUGUGCCCAGAGAUCAGGAUGUGCACUGUGGUCUGAAUUACACUGCAUCUGAUUCUCAUUAACUGCCCAUGAUUUCCCCCCCUGGAUCCGGUUUCUCUGCCCUUUCUGAAUUACUGUGCACAUGGCUGGCUUCCGCAGAUUGCUCAGCCCCGGUCAUCUGCAAUCGAGUCUGCUGCUCUGUUAUAACCCAUGCUGCAAUUUGAGUGGACCCAUAUCAGGAGUGCUUUAGACAUAAAAAAUCUGUCUGAUGAUUGAAGAAACUCCCUGAACUAAAUGCUUCUGCAUUCGAGACUUUAUUAACUAAGCACUAUGGAAAGGGGUAGAUUUGAUUGCUUAGGCCUGCAGAAAGAAAACUGGACAAUAAAUAUUUAUUAUCAAAAUGUGUAUAAUGC